rnacentral:rRNA from 1 species
UACGUAGGGUGCAAGCGUUGUCCGGAAUUAUUGGGCGUAAAGAGCUCGUAGGCGGUUUGUUGCGUCGGCUGUGAAAUCCCGAGGCUCAACCUCGGGUCUGCAGUCGAUACGAGCAAACUAGAGUGUUGCAGGGGAGACUGGAAUUCCUGGUGUAGCGGUGAAAUGACGCAGAUAUCAGGAGGAACACCGGUGGCGAAGGCGGGUCUCUGGGCCGAUACUGACGCUGGAGGAAGCGAAAGCGUGGGGAGCGAACAGG